GACGAACGCUGGCGGCGUGCUUAACACAUGCAAGUCGAACGGAAAGGCCCUGCUUUUGUGGGGUGCUCGAGUGGCGAACGGGUGAGUAACACGUGAGUAACCUGCCCUUGACUUUGGGAUAACUUCAGGAAACUGGGGCUAAUACCGGAUAGGAGCUCCUGCUGCAUGGUGGGGGUUGGAAAGUUUCGGCGGUUGGGGAUGGACUCGCGGCUUAUCAGCUUGUUGGUGGGGUAGUGGCUUACCAAGGCUUUGACGGGUAGCCGGCCUGAGAGGGUGACCGGCGACAUUGGGACUGAGAUACGGACCAGACUGCAACGGGAGGCAGCAGUGGGGAAUAUUGCACAAUGGGCGGAAGCCUGAUGAAGCAACGCCGCGUGCGGGAUGACGGCAUUCGGGUUGUAAACCGCUUUAGCAUGUGACGAAGCGUGAGUGACGGUAAUGGGUAAAGAAGCACCGGCUAACUACGUG
rnacentral:rRNA from 1 species